AUUGAACGCUGGCGGCAGGCCUAACACAUGCAAGUCGAACGGUAACAGGAAGCAGCUUGCUGCUUUGCUGACGAGUGGCGGACGGGUGAGUAAUGUCUGGGAAACUGCCUGAUGGAGGGGGAUAACUACUGGAAACGGUAGCUAAUACCGCAUAACGUCGCAAGACCAAAGAGGGGGACCUUCGGGCCUCUUGCCAUCGGAUGUGCCCAGAUGGGAUUAACUAGUAGGUGGGGUAACGGCUCACCUAGGCGACGAUCCCUAGCUGGUCUGAGAGGAUGACCAGCCACACUGGAACUGAGACACGGUCCAGACUCCUACGGGAGGCAGCAGUGGGGAAUAUUGCACAAUGGGCGCAAGCCUGAUGCAGCCAUGCCGCGUGUAUGAAGAAGGCCUUCGGGUUGUAAAGUACUUUCAGCGGGGAGGAAGGGAGUAAAGUUAAUACCUUUGCUC
rnacentral:rRNA from 1 species